AAAUUAAAUGCUAAUUAGCUGUUUAUGUGGCUAUCAUAAAGAACUACAAAUGCCAUGAUAAUUUGGAGGAGACUGCCGAAUCAAGGCAAAGUUGGGCAAUCCUCCUCUCAAAAUACUGCAUCAUGAAGGCUUCCUGGGUGGACCUCUGAGCAUGCCCCAACCCCAGGCUCAGGACGAGCAGUGUCAACAUCCAGCAGGUGGCGCCACAUUAUCUGGAGAAGACGGAAGUUUUCAUUUUCUCCUGAGGACCUGCAUGCCAGCUGUAUCCAGUCCAGUUCCUGCAGGAGACUGUGGUCUGUGCUUCACAACCUGUCUGGCCAGAGAAAGACCAACUCCCUCAGUAGCAGCAGCGUUUCCAUUCCUUCUUCAAAGCGCUAGCUGCUGUGCUUCUGUUUACAAUGAGGGCGAACACAGCUCUGUAUGGGUUAGCGCCACACAAUUAUGCCCACCGGGAUACAAUAGUGCAGAAGCAAUCACAGGAUGGCAAGGUGAGAGGGAGAGAAGGUUGCAUGGGGAUGGAACACGCACCAGAGACAUGUCAGAUGCUAGGGUGGUAGUUGACUGAGUGAACCCAUGGUAACCAGAUUCAGACCUCUCAAACAUGAUCACUACCUACAGUUCCUACGCCAAACAGGACCUAUUGUUCAAAACCCAAUAGAAAAGUAGGCCUGUAUAUCAUGUGUGUGGGGUGAAUCAUAAUGAACAUGUGAAAAUGCAUCCCAGUGCCCUGUGCCUGAAGAAAUUGAUGGGAAAUAUUGUCUCAUUGUGAUAAUGGUAUAAAUGAAUCACAAAAUGAUCAAGGUUUUUCUCUUUCCUCUGCUAUAUUAUUAAACUAUGAAUGCUGAUUAAUUUGCAUAUUCAAGAAAUUAUCAUCAGACAUCAUUCAACAGAAAUACUUAAAUAUCUUUUAAACUGUGAAUAUUCAGAUCAUAGUAAAUGGCAGGCCUUUAUCUUAGCGUAUUGUUCUUGUAGUGAAUCUCUGAAGAAAACAACUACCUACUGUGUCUUAUUAAA